UACGUAGGGUGCAAGCGUUUAAUCGGAAUUACUGGGCGUAAAGCGUGCGCAGGCGGCUUUGCAAGACAGAUGUGAAAUCCCCGGGCUUAACCUGGGAACUGCAUUUGUGACUGCAUGGCUGGAGUGCGGCAGAGGGGGAUGGAAUUCCGCGUGUAGCAGUGAAAUGCGUAGAUAUGCGGAGGAACACCGAUGGCGAAGGCAAUCCCCUGGGCCUGCACUGACGCUCAGGCACGAAAGCGUGGGGAGCAAACAGG
rnacentral:rRNA from 1 species